AUACGGAGGGUGCAAGCGUUAUCCGGAUUUAUUGGGUUUAAAGGGUGCGCAGGCGGACCUGUCAGUCAGUGGUGAAAUCCCGGGGCUCAACCCCGGAACUGCCAUUGAUACUACAGGUCUUGAAUAUGGUUGAAGUAGGCGGAAUGUAGCAUGUAGCGGUGAAAUGCAUAGAUAUGAUACAGAACACCGAUCGCGAAGGCAGCUUACUAAGCCGAUAUUGACGCUCAGGCACGAAAGCGUGGGGAGCGAACAGGAUUAGAAACCCCGGUAGUCC
rnacentral:rRNA from 1 species